rnacentral:rRNA from 1 species
UACGGAGGAUGCGAGCGUUAUCCGGAUUUAUUGGGUUUAAAGGGUGCGUAGGCGGGUUAUCAAGUCAGCGGUAAAAUCGUGGAGCUCAACUCCAUCCAGCCGUUGAAACUGGCGUUCUUGAGUGAGCGAGAAGUAUGCGGAAUGCGUGGUGUAGCGGUGAAAUGCAUAGAUAUCACGCAGAACUCCGAUUGCGAAGGCAGCAUACCGGCGCUCAACUGACGCUCAUGCACGAAAGCGUGGGUAUCGAACAGG